rnacentral:tRNA from 1 species
GGCAGUGUAGCCUAGUGCAUUUAGCACUAGGCUGCAACUCAGGAGACCUGGAUUCUAUUCCCAGCUCUGCCA